AUUGAACGCUGGCGGCAUGCUUUACACAUGCAAGUCGAACGGUAACAGCACUUCGGUGGCCGACGAGUGGCGAACGGGUGAGUAAUACAUCGGAACGUGCCUAGUAGUGGGGGAUAACUACUCGAAAGAGUAGCUAAUACCGCAUGAGAUCUAAGGAUGAAAGCAGGGGACCUUCGGGCCUUGCGCUACUAGAGCGGCUGAUGGCAGAUUAGGUCGUUGGUGGGAUAAAAGCUUACCAAGCCGACGAUCUGUAGCUGGUCUGAGAGGACGACCAGCCACACUGGGACUGAGACACGGCCCAGACUCCUGCGGGAGGCAGCAGUGGGGAAUUUUGGACAAUGGGCGCAAGCCUGAUCCAGCAAUGCCGCGUGCAUGAUGAAGGCCUUCGGGUUGUAAACUGCUUUUGUACGGAACGAAAAGCCCUCUUCUAAUACAGGAGGGUCAUGACGGUACCGUAAGAAUAAGCACCGGCUAACUACGUG
rnacentral:rRNA from 1 species